rnacentral:rRNA from 1 species
UGGGGAAUAUUGCACAAUGGGGGAAACCCUGAUGCAGCAACGCCGCGUGAGUGAUGACGGUCUUCGGAUUGUAAAGCUCUGUCUUUAGGGACGAUAAUGACGGUACCUAAGGAGGAAGCCACGGCUAACUACGUGCCAGCAGCCGCGGUAAUACGUAGGUGGCAAGCGUUGUCCGGACUUACUGGGCGUAAAGGGAGCGUAGGUGGAUAUUUGAAGUGGGAAUGUGAAAUACCCGGGCCUAACCUGGGUGCUGCAUUCCAAACUGGAUAUCUAGAGUGCAGGAGAGGAAAGGAGAAUUCCUAGUGUAGCGGUGAAAGUGCGUAGAGAUUAGGAAGAAUACCAGUGGCGAAGGCGCCUUCUGGACUGUAACUGACACUGAGGCUCGAAAGCGUGGGGAGCAAACAGGAUUAGAUACCCUGGGUAGUCCACGCCGUAAACGAUGAAUCUAGGUGUAGGGGGUUGUCAUACCUCUGUGCCGCCGCUAACGCAUUAAGUAUUCCGCCU